UAAACUAUUUAUUCUACCAACACGGAUGAGAAAAUAGAAAGAGGAUGAGAAGGUUUCCAAAAGAAAUUUUCGGCUGAAAUUAUUAAUUUUCCAACAUGCCGAGCAUUUUAGACUUGAAAUGGGAAUAUGAUUGACUGAUUCAUCCAAAUAAAUAAAUAAUAAUAAAUCUUCCGUUUACCAAUUAUCAAUAAAUGCACCAAUUGCAUCAAUUGUAGGUUACAUACUUAGUACGUGCCGUUAGGUGUGAAUGUUUUUGUGGUUUCUCCAGGUCUUGAGGCGAGAGCAGCAGGCUCAGCAGAGGGUGCACAGCGUGUUCAUAGCUCAGCUCAGAGAGUGCACAAGACUACUCUGCAAGGCUCACGACAACAAUCUCCAACAGAGUUUGACCCAGCGGCUGAGCGCCCUGGUAGAGGAGAUGGGAGAGCUGGUGUCAGCAGAGUGCCAGCGUCAGGGGGCCUGGGGGUUUCUGGGGGAGGGUACGGGGGCCAAGCUGCUCUGCCCUGACUCUGGAACCGUGCUGACCAAGGACCACAUCUUUGCUCCUGAUGGAUCCAUGCAUCCUUGCAGGGCCCUUCAUUGGGAUUCAGUCACAGGGCUCUUAAGGCCGAAUGCUCACAGCCACAUGCUGCUGAGCAGCGGCCACAACGUGGCAGUGCCACCUGAUUUCUUCAUCAACCCACAGACCGGCAGAGUGAUGCCCAUAGCGGGCAACGUGGCCUACGACCCCGCAAGCUCUACUCUGGUUUCAACCACAGGCUCGUGUUCAGGAGACAGCAGGAAGUGGGACAGUCCCCUCCUUCCUUUCCUUCCUUACCCAACCUCCAGCCACUCAGAACAGCCUCUGUCCAACACUCGUCUUAGAGGCCUCAGGCCGGGCCAGCAGCUGCAACUGGGAGUUCCCAUGGCGGACCCGGACACAGGAGUGCCAGUGCCAAUUCUGGCUGUGACCAUCCACCCCCAGACAGGACUCGUCUACCCACUGGGCGGGGUGCACGUCUGUCCCCUCACCCGCCUGCUGCAGCCCAUACAGAUUGGCUACCCCAUGCUGGACUCCAAAACGGGGAACGUUGUGCUCACUGUUGGGGUCAGUCUGGAUCCAGCAUCAGGAGUUGUGCUGCCAGUCGGUGGAGUCCUGCUGGCGGAGUCCUUUAUUGAACCUCUAAGUGGCCGGAUGUUGAGAGUGGGAGGUGCAAUCAUGCAGACUGGGCAGCUGCUGCCUAACGCUGGUGGAUACCAGACCUUCCUAGACAGCAAGGUUCUGUCCGUGCUGUUCAAAGUGUUGGAGCUUCUGAAGACACUGACUGACGUGUGGGGAUCAGAUCAAAAUUUGCAGCACCAUCAGGGCAGCGAGAGAGGGAACGGCCGCCAAGAUCAUCUGGUAGCUGCAGCCAAAGAGCUCCAGCAGGCCUGGGGACGCAGCCUGCACUGCCAGAUGCAGCUGCAGACCAGGUUGGGUAUCCUCCUUGACUGGGCUGCAGGUCUGCAGAAGGAUGGCGGGACUUUGGGAGAGAUGCCUCUCCCAGGUUCAGAUGUGUGUGUGCCCGCUCUGCUGGGGAUGGAGUACCCUGACCCCAUGGGAUCUGGUCUGAGUGUGCCCGUGCUGGGGGGUCAGGCAGACUUUGUCUCUGGAAAAAUAAUACCGCUGGCCGGUACCAUGGAGGACCCCGAUGGAAAAGGCCUGGUGGCUAUCUGUUACGCUUCUCAGACUGUGGACCCGGUGACUGGGGUGUUGACCCCAGUGGUUGGAGCCAGGUUGGAUGCGUCCAGGAAACACGUUGUGCCAGUCACAGCCUCUUACUGGCUGACGGUGGCCAGUGAAACUGACAGUGUGCAGGUGGAGGCGCUGCAGAGGGAAGUGUGUGCGCGAAACACUUACUGGCAGCAGCAGAGGCAGCGGGAGGAAGAUGUUCUCUCUGACCUGGACUUAGCCGCCUUCCAAUGUCUCUUUAGAGUUACAGAAACAAAGUCUCAUCAGGUCCAGUGGUCGGGGAUGCAGCUGAAGGAAGCAGCCAUGGAACUGCAGGGUUCGGCGCAGAUGGAAGUACAAAGGAGAGCAGCUCGGCGCUCCCAGUUGGCUCUGAUCUUGCCUCUGCAUGUAUUGCACAUCCUCACGCAGGGUGACGAGGAAGCGUGGGAAAGGCAGUGUGCGUGGCACUCAGAGCUUGUGGCAGGCCUUGAUAAGCUGGAUGCAGUGCUGUGUGGAAACUUUUGGUACAGGGAAUAUGGUCUGGUCAAGUGCAGUGGACACAGGCCGACUGUGGAGCGCAGGGGUUUGCUUCAACAGAUGGCUUUGCCUCUGCUGGAGAGACUGAACAAGCUCCUGGAAGACAAACAGCCUACCAGCUCCUCUCCCAACACCUGCAAUCAGCACAUUUCUGGUUUGUCGACAAAGCAGGCGUAUGGGUUGGAGAUAGCCUCUGGAGUCUGGACAGCCUCUGUUCCCAAAGUAACAGACACAAACCAGAGCUUCAUAGACGUCCUGGAUGCUCAGUGGGAAUGUGAAGGAGAGCUGAUCCCUUUGGACCUCUCUGUCCUUAACCCCAGAGAGCUUUUGGUCUACCAGCACGGACUGUUCCUCAUGCACACAUUGCAUGGUUUAAAACUGACACCAUCCAUUUCACUUCAGAUUGCAGCUAGUCUCCCAAACAACAGCUACCUAAAAAACGCCUUCAGAAACUCCUUCUUUUAUCAGGAGGCAGAGGGGACGCUCUUUGUCCGUCGCCAGAGGCUGAAGUCGGUUGGAGGUUUCUCCCUGCUGCUGCUCCACUGUCUGUCCCACAUCAAGAUACACAACAUGAGCUCGGACUCCAGUCCUGUCUUCCAGAGGCUUUUCUUCAAGGUACUGCAGGGAUGUUUGGGGGAGCUGUUUCAUGCCAGACUGGGUGUGACCUCCUCUGGACAGGAACACAGUCGGUCUGUGUUACAGGACCAAGAGACCCCAUCUGGAGUUUUAAAGAGGAGCCUUUCAGACUCCCAUGCUGCUUCACUGCUUUGCGGGUCUCAAACACCAAGCAGAGGAUUUCUGUCUGAAGAUGAAGUUGGGGAACUACAGAGGAAACACAGAGAGACCAGUCUGCUCACCCAUCUUGAAGGACUUUUGAGAGAGAAAAGCUCUCUGUGAGGGAAAUUCUUCUUCUUGAAAGAGAAGAAACAGGAGGGUUCUUUUAUUGCGAGCGUUAUGAGUGGCUCUUUUCAAAACUCUUUUUUUUCAGCUUCAGAAGCAAGCUGGCCACCCUAGACAAUGAAGGUCUCUAGAAUUUCUCUCCCCACAGUGGGUAAAAUUACCUUAACAUUAAUUAAAUUAGUUAAAGGAGGAGUAAAAAGGAGUAAAAAGGAGGCUUGCGCAAUAACUUCUACAAUCUAAUAGAAUCCAGC
ensembl:lncRNA